rnacentral:rRNA from 1 species
CGGUGCGGCGUGCUAUACAUGCAAGUCGAGCGAAGAGAUGGGAGCUUGCUCCCUGAUCUUAGCGGCGGACGGGUGAGUAACACGUGGGCAACCUGCCCUGCAGACUGGGAUAACUCCGGGAAACCGGAGCUAAUACCGGGUAAUACAUCGCACCGCAUGGUGCAAUGUUGAAAGUUGGCUUUCUGAGCUAACACUGCAGGAUGGGCCCGCGGCGCAUUAGCUAGUUGGUAAGGUAAUGGCUUACCAAGGCGACGAUGCGUAGCCGACCUGAGAGGGUGAUCGGCCACACUGGGACUGAGACACGGCCCAGACUCCUACGGGAGGCAGCAGUAGGGAAUCUUCCGCAAUGGACGAAAGUCUGACGGAGCAACGCCGCGUGAGUGACGAAGGCCUUCGGGUCGUAAAGCUCUGUUGUUAGGGAAGAACAAGUACCGUUCGAAUAGGGCGGUACCUUGACGGUACCUAACCAGAAAGCCACGGCUAACUACGUGCCAGCAGCCGCGGUAAUACGUAGGUGGCAAGCGUUGUCCGGAAUUAUUGGGCGUAAAGCGCGCGCAGGCGGUCUUUUAAGUCUGAUGUGAAAGCCCACGGCUCAACCGUGGAGGGUCAUUGGAAACUGGAGGACUUGAGUGCAGAAGAGGAGAGUGGAAUUCCACGUGUAGCGGUGAAAUGCGUAGAUAUGUGGAGGAACACCAGUGGCGAAGGCGGCUCUCUGGUCUGUAACUGACGCUGAGGCGCGAAAGCGUGGGGAGCAAACAGGAUUAGAUACCCUGGUAGUCCACGCCGUAAACGAUGAGUGCUAGGUGUUGGGGGGUUCCACCCUCAGUGCUGAAGUUAACACAUUAAGCACUCCGCCUGGGGAGUACGACCGCAAGGUUGAAACUCAAAGGAAUUGACGGGGGCCCGCACAAGCAGUGGAGCAUGUGGUUUAAUUCGAAGCAACGCGAAGAACCUUACCAGGUCUUGACAUCCUCUGACAUCCUGGAGACAGGACGUUCCCCUUUCGGGGGACAGAGUGACAGGUGGUGCAUGGUUGUCGUCAGCUCGUGUCGUGAGAUGUUGGGUUAAGUCCCGCAACGAGCGCAACCCUUGAUCUUAGUUGCCAGCAUUUAGUUGGCACUCUAAGGUGACUGCCGUG